AAUAACUUUAUUGAACCAUCAAAAUAAAUUGCGUAUUGUUCAUCAUGCAUUUGAACUUCCUUUGUAUUUUAAUAGUCCAACAAAAUUAGAUCAGAUCUGUAUCCAGCUAAAUUUUUAGAUAUUUCAGAAAAAUCAUCCUUUCCGUAUGUACAUGACAAAUACGAAAUAAAUUCCGUUUUCCUUGUUACUUUUUUCCAUUAAAAUACAGAUAUCUUUUUUGCGUAAACAAGGAUAUAUUAAUGUCUCAGCCGCGAUGCGAGCUGCAGGAUACGAAGGAGAUGCGAAAGGAGAUUAAUCGAUAUAUUCAGCAUUUUUCUUUAUUUUACACGGUUUAUAUACAGAAAAGAGGAUACAUAAAAAAAUACAUGAAAAGAAACGUUAAAGAAACGGUAAAGAGGGAAAGGGGAAACGUAGAGAUCCAACGACAAAAGUAUACAGCGAAGCAAAAUCAGUCGCAUCGGAGGUGAUAAGUAUCUUAGCCAUUAAUCAACGUCGCUCCAAUACGCGAGGGUCAGAUUCCCGGUUGGCGAUUUCGCCUCUUUCUUUCGGGAAUGAAACGAACGAUGCGACAACGGAGACACCGGGACACAAGUAAUCGUCCGUUUCACAAAUAUUCGCCUCUCCCUCAUCGACGACGUCUCGAUUCCCUCGCGUGGAAACCGCCACUCCGCUUUUUCGCGGAGGGAAAAUUGUUAAAAAUUAACUAUCGCGUAGGCUCAAAACGACUCGAUAAAAAUUGUCCCGAUUCGUCAACUCGCUCGUCCGUGUUUCGGGUUGAACACGUGAAUUUCAGGAAUAACGCACGAUAGGAAUAACUCCUCUCCUUUCCUCAUUAAAUUUCUACAAAGAGCCUCACUCUUCCCUCCUCUUACUCUCUCUCUUUCUCACUGUUGCCAUGCAAACUCGUACUAAAUUUUAGCCUAUCGUACAUAUUUUAUACAUUGAGCGCAUCGUCGGAGGCGUCGACGUUCGCCGGCUCUCCGCGAUAGGUGUCCGCGUGCAACGGCAUCGUUACACGUGUCGUUUACACGCGUGAAACGCGUGCACGUCCCCCGAGGGACUCUGAACUUCCUCCCGUCUUCGGCGUCGUUAUCACGCGGCGCGCGAGAGGAUGCGAGGGUGUCGAACGGGAGUAAAACGGUGAAAAACGGCGGGAAAUCCGCGGAAAUCGCCAGAUCGCGUCUCGGACUUUGGUCCUAUUCGCGGAGAAUGCGUAUUCCUUUCCGGUAUCACACAUUACCGAGAUAUCGUUACGUAUAGCGCGAGAGCGUCGUAAUGCUAGAUUUGCAGGUCCCUACGAGAGCGAUCGAAAAAGCGAUCGUUUUUAGCGAGCGGCAGGACGCGUUCUUCGCGAUUACACGCGCGAGAUAAGAUAAUCGGAGAAUAUCAGUCCUUGGCGAAGUGUGUCAAUUAGAGUCAUCCUUUAUUCGGUAUUUAUUAUUUAUAUCUCUACGCGCUGGCGGCGAUUAAUUGGAGAUCCACGCUUUACAAAGUAUAUACUUCUUUCUCUCUCUCUCUCACUCUCUUUCUUUCUCUCUCACAUUCUCUCAUUCUCUUUGAUAAAAAUGAUCGUCGCGAUCACGUGAAAAAGGCGUGUCUGAAAACGCACAGGUACAAACACAUGCGGUGCCUCCGAAAGACGAUAUACAUAAGAUUUUAUUUCGUCAGAUUCUUUCGCGUUUUGCGUUAACGAUAUAUUUAUGUAUAAAUAUAUACAACGUGUGUAUAUGUGUAUGUAUAUGUUUGUGUAAAACGCAUCGCGGUGUCUUUUCUAUCUCUCACGUUGUUACCCUCUGCAAUAUCCGCGUUAGAUUGCCGGUUCUGCAUGAAAAAAAAAAAAGUAAAAAAUAAGAAAACGAAACUAGGAAAUAAAAGAAGCCAGGUAUAUACAUGGUGAAGAACGAACGGAACGAUCAUUCGUCGCGAAGUCUUUGGUCCCAACUCGCGAAGGGAUUCUCGUGAAAAUAUUUCGAGAACAAAUCGAAGCGCAUUAGGAGGGAGCGAAGCGCGAGCGGAACCAAAACGCGAGCGAGUAAAUGGAGCUGCCAUAUACGGAAAUCGAGUGGAAGUUUGCGAUCCUCCUUACAGACGGCUGUAAUUUUUGCUUUGCUAAUUGAAGUCACAAUCUGACGGUAGUAUUAUCUUUCUCGACGAUUCUGCGACGAAUGGAAACAGUGCAUUUAUACUCAAUUUUCGCGAAGAUCGAUGAACUUCCACUGAGUUCGCUACAGAUGUGCGACGAACGCAUCGUUGUAAUUAAAUAAGAAAACUGUAAUCAAUCGGAAAUUAUAACAGAUCUGUUCGCGUUCGUUCGUUACACAGAGUAUGUGUAAUUGUUUAGUCUCCUCGCGUGUGUCGACCGCCAGUGGAGGAGAGCCAAAUGGCAAGUCCGCAACGUGAGCCUUUCCGGUUUUAAAGUUCUAAAGAAGAUGCAGGAUGAUGCUGUAAGAAAGAAAGGAGGGAAGAGGGAGAGAGCCCUCUUCCCUCUUUGCGCAUACCAGUCUAGCGAAAGCCGGCGGUAAAAUAAAAAUGGAAUGUAUUUUCGAAACUCUUUCUUUUAAUAAUCAUAUAACAAUACUCGUUAUAUUCACGAUCAACAUACAUUAAUCUUAUCUAUACGUUGCAAAUGUUACAUAAAAAAGAUAUCCGUUCUGCGUUUUCUAAAAUUAUAAAAACGACGGUAGCAAAAGUCUCGGAACCUGGCGGGGCAGUGAACGUCACGACGUUCGGCCCCUCUUUUUUUUUCUUCUUUCUCUCUGUCUUGUAUUAUAAACGCUAAAAACGAUAGGUAAAAAAAGAGGACGACGGCGGGGAAUAAGUGUAACGUAACUAAAGUUUUUUUUUCCUAAGUCACUCUGCGGUUUUCUUCUCAAUCGAUCUCAGAACACGUGUUUAGGAGUCGGUAGGUUCCGCGAGAACGGUCGAAAUCCCAAUCGGGCAAAAGGAAGGAACACAUCACGCAUGUCAUCACUUCAUUGUGCACUCUUAUAACGAACGGCGAAUGCGCUAUCGGCGCAAGGACGAGAGUGCAGCGUAACGAUACGAGGAAAAAAAAAAAGAGGGAGAGGAGUCGAGAAGAGAUCCUCUCUCUUUCGCGCUCGGGAGAUGUACAUGUAUCCUCUUGAUGGUCGGGAAGGACGGGAGCAGAAACGUUACAUUAUGCGUCUCAUUAAUCUUUAAUUAGAUAAUUAAUUCACUAUUUACGAAAAGUCAUAAUAAAAAGUAGUAUUCUAUGUAUUCGAUAUUUCAAUCAUAAUAUUGUAAUAAUAACAUAUAUAUAUAUAUAUAUAUAUAUAUAUAUAUAAAUUAUUACAAUAUGCUUUAUCUGCAAUUAGUCUAUAAAUCGGAUAAUUCACAAUUCGUCGCGUGCGCGCGUUUAUGUAUACAAAUCGCGGUCUAUAUAUCUUUUCUUUCUCUCAAAUAGGACUGAUAAAUAUAAAAAAGAAAUAAAAUAUCGCAUGUAAUAUUUAUAUAUGUAUAUAUAUAUAUAGCGUUGCAUGUAACAUUCAUCUCUUUUUCUCGUUCGUUCGCUUGCUCUCUCGCACUCUCUCUUUCUCGCUUACAAUAGUGAAUCACGUUACGAAUGCCUCAUGCACCAACGAACUCCCUUUCUCGCAGCAUCGUUCUCUUCCUCUUCGUGUAUUACCAAUAUUAAUGCAAACAUCCGAGAAGAGAAAGAGAGAACAGUGCCGGCUGGAUGCAAGCAUCGUUGGUUGGUUUUGUCGAUCAACCGCGUCUCCCUAAAGGGCUCAAUUUUCGCAGCUCGCCCUUGCUUCUGAAAUGACAAGAGCGGGGGGAUCAACGAUGAUUACAAACGUCGUCUACGAAAAAAAGAGUUCUGCCCGAUUUUUUUGCUUUCUCUUUUCUUUUUUCCUCUUUCGAUCGCUGGACGUUUGAUGUAAGAUUCUUCUAUUUAUUUCAUAAUUAAUCGGAAUAGAGAGUUGGUACGCGCGGCGUUCGAACGUUCAUAUUUUAUCGAGAGUGUCACUACCGCGAAGAUGUACACCACUUUCAGAUUUACAACACUGUCCUAAAAACACAGCCAUACUAAGCCAAAUACUUUUUGGGUUCUGUCGUUUACACGAUUACUCCUUUUUUCUGCUAGUAAAAUCGUUCAAAUAAACAUCUACACUCGAUCUCUGUGCGUCUUUCCCUAGCAAUUUUCGCUCGUUUCUCACCGAUUGCUCGAUUUAAAAAAAAUACAAAAGAAACAAGAAAAAGAAAAGGAAGAUAGGAAGGAAACAAAAGGGAAUGGAAGAGAAAACCGCGUACACGGGGGUGAUCCUGUCCAUGAUCCCGUUCGAACUUCUGAAGCCUUUAGCAACCAGUAAUGAAAAGCUAAUCCGAUUCGCGAAGGGAAGAAAAGGGAGAAAAACUCGAUUUUCUCUUUUUGGAAAAGGCGGAGAAGCGAAGCCGUUAUCCCAAAUGAUGCGACGCACGUUACACCAAUGUAAAACGUAAUCUAGGAAAAGGAAUGUGUCUCGGUACCAUAUUCCUUUUUUUUCAUUUUAUCACUUGAGAUUUCUCGCGUUGUUCAAGGGGCGGGGAGGGAUAUCGAUGGUACCGGAAACUAUAUUGGGGACUUCUAAGGACCCCGAUUGCACUCGUAACAAUUCACCCGAAAAGAAUCAGUGCACCCGAUCAAGGCCGACCGCUGACCUUGAUCGAGUUCUGCCAAGUUGGUUCUUUCUCUUUCUCUCUCUCACUCUACAACUUUUUCUUUUUCCCUUCGCUAAUCCCGCGAGAGUGACUUAAUGAGGAACACGAUCAAAGCACGUGCCGCCGAGAGUUCAAACGAGAAUUCGUAGCGCAUGAGUGUUCAAAUGAACAUGCGUCUUGAGCGAAGACGUGUACAUAUGCCGGCGUACGUAUGUAUGCAUAUAUAUCUCUCGGUGUGUAGCUAGUUAAAGAGUAUCGAUGGUAUGUCACAUGAUAAUUAGCUCACGAGCUUAGGAGUUCCAAAGAUCGUUCUCGCGAUCGCUCUAUUUUCUCUUUCCUUU